rnacentral:rRNA from 1 species
AGUGAACGCUGGCGGUAGGCCUAACACAUGCAAGUCGAACGGCAACACAGUAAGAGCUUGCUCUUACGGGUGGCGAGUGGCGGACGGGUGAGGAAUACAUCGGAAUCUACUUUUUCGUGGGGGAUAACGUAGGGAAACUUACGCUAAUACCGCAUACGACCUACGGGUGAAAGCAGGGGAUCUUCGGACCUUGCGCGAUUGAAUGAGCCGAUGUCGGAUUAGCUAGUUGGCGGGGUAAAGGCCCACCAAGGCGACGAUCCGUAGCUGGUCUGAGAGGAUGAUCAGCCACACUGGAACUGAGACACGGUCCAGACUCCUACGGGAGGCAGCAGUGGGGAAUAUUGGACAAUGGGCGCAAGCCUGAUCCAGCCAUACCGCGUGGGUGAAGAAGGCCUUCGGGUUGUAAAGCCCUUUUGUUGGGAAAGAAAAGCAGCAGGUUAAUACCCCGCUGUUCUGACGGUACCCAAAGAAUAAGCACCGGCUAACCUCGUG